UACGGAGGGUGCAAGCGUUAAUCGGAAUUACUGGGCGUAAAGGGCGCGUAGGCGGCCCAGCAAGUCGGGAGUGAAAGCCCGGGGCUCAACCCCGGAACGGCUUUCGAAACUGCUGAGCUAGAGUACAGAAGGGGCAACCGGAAUUCCCAGUGUAGCGGUGAAAUGCGUAGAUAUUGGGAAGAACACCUGAGGCGAAGGCGGGUUGCUGGGCUGAUACUGACGCUGAGGCGCGAAAGCCAGGGGAGCAAACGGG
rnacentral:rRNA from 1 species